rnacentral:rRNA from 1 species
UACGGAAGGCAGCAGUGGGGAAUAUUGCACAAUGGGCGAAAGCCUGAUGCAGCUAUGCCGCGUGUAUGAAGAAGGCCUUAGGGUUGUAAAGUACUUUCAUCGGGGAGGAAAAAACAAAACUAAUAAUUUUAUUUCUUGACGUUACCCGAAAAAGAAGCACCGGCUAACUCCGUGCCAGCAGCCGCGGUAAUACGGAGGGUGCUAGCGUUAAUCAGAAUUACUGGGCGUAAAGAGCACGUAGGUGGUUUUUUAAAGUCAGAUGUGAAAUCCCUGGGCUUAACCUAGGAACUGCAUUUUGAAACUGAAAUACUAGAGUAUCGUAGAGGGAGGUAGAAUUCUAGGUGUAGCGGUGAAAUGCGUAGAUAUCUGGAGGAAUACCUGUGGCGAAAGCGGCCUCCUAAACGAAUACUGACACUGAGGGUGCGAAAGCGUGGGGAGCAAACAGGGAUUUAGAUA